rnacentral:ncRNA from 2 species
AGCUUAUCAAGAGAGAUACUAGGGACAGGCCCGUUUUGAGUAUCCAGCAACCUGUAUUUACAAGGUGCUAAAUCCUGGCAUUAAAUGCGAAGAUAAGAA